rnacentral:sRNA from 1 species
GUAGUGUCCGCUAUUGCCAGUACACCUCAAAUCCCCCUGUGCGGAGGGGCAAUCAGCGAGUAGGUAUAUGGGAUAAUCGCGGAUUCAGGUGCUGGUACUGAAUUCACCGGGAGGCACCCGGCACCAUGCAAUGGCACAUAGCGCCACUCUCCAGCCCCUCUCCGGAGGGGCUGUUUAUAUUGAU